AUUGAACGCUGGCGGUAUGCUUAACACAUGCAAGUCGAACGGUAACAGGCCUUCGGGCGCUGACGGGUGGCGGACGGGUGAGUAACGCGUAGGAAUCUGCCUCAUAGUGGGGGACAACGUGGGGAAACUCACGCUAAUACCGCAUACGCCCUACGGGGGAAAGCGGGGGAGUCUUCGGACCUCGCGCUAUGAGAUGAGCCUGCGUUAGAUUAGCUAGUUGGUAGGGUAAAGGCCUACCAAGGCGACGAUCUAUAGCUGGUCUGAGAGGACGAUCAGCCACACUGGGACUGAGACACGGCCCAGACUCCUACGGGAGGCAGCAGUGGGGAAUAUUGGACAAUGGGCGCAAGCCUGAUCCAGCAAUACCGCGUGUGUGAAGAAGGCCUUAGGGUUGUAAAGCACUUUCAAUUGGGAGGAAAACCUGCCGGUCAAUACCGGCAGCUUGACAUUACCUUUAAGAAGAAGCACCGGCUAACUCCGUGCCAGCAG
rnacentral:rRNA from 1 species